rnacentral:rRNA from 1 species
GACAGAGGGUGCAAACGUUGCUCGGAAUCACUGGGCGUAAAGGGCGUGUAGGCGGGACAGUAAGUCGGGCGUGAAAUCCCUGGGCUCAACCCAGGAACUGCACUCGAAACUACUAUUCUUGAGUGUCGGAGAGGAAAGCGGAAUUCCUGGUGUAGAGGUGAAAUUCGUAGAUAUCAGGAGGAACACCGGUGGCGAAGGCGGGACUCUGGGCCGAUACUGACGCUGAGGAGCG